rnacentral:rRNA from 1 species
UACGUAGGAGGCAAGCGUUGUCCGGAAUUACUGGGUGUAAAGCGCGUGUAGGUGGUGGGCCAAGUCUGUGGUGAAAUCGCCCGGCUCAACUGGGCGGGGUCGGCGGAUACGGCCGAGCUGGAGCAAGCUAGGGGGCAAUGGAAUUCCCGGUGUAGUGGUGGAAUGCGUAGAUAUCGGGAGGAACACCAGUGGCGAAGGCGAGUCCCUGGACAACACCUGACACUGAGGCACGAAAGCUAGGGGAGCAAACAGG